UUAAAAGUAGAAUGGGAGGCAGAGCCUUCAGUUUUCAGGCCCCUCUUCAACCCUACCUGCUCCAGUACCAAACGCAGCCCAUACGCACGCCCAUCCUGGGCUAUCCCUGGUUCUGUCGGCACAACCCCCAUAUCUCCUGGUCAUCGUGUCAGAUCCUGGGCUGGGGCUGUUUACAAAGCUGUUUCAACCCUGAGACCAGAAUGGAUCCCGCAAAACUACCCCCUUCAGAGCCCAUUGAUCUGGAGAAGAUUCCUCAAGUCUUCCAUGAUCUCUCCGAGGUUCGGAGAUACACUCUAACCUACCCCCGCUCACCCCUAUGACCCCCUAUAUGUACCGAGACGCUGACAGGUUUUCUUAACCAGGGUGUUAAUGUGACAGGACCAUGACAGGUCCUGAGUGAUGUGGACACCCAGGUACUGGGAGCUGUCCACUCUCUCCACUGGUGCGCCACUGAUGAUUAGGGACUCACCUGUUUUGUAGCGAAGACCGCGAUCAGCUCUGCUGAUGUUUAGGAGGAGGUUGUUCUCCUGGCACCAGUUCUUCAGGAUCCUCAUCUCCUCCAGGUCGGCCUUCUCGGUGGUGUCAGAGACCAGGCACACCACAACGGUGUGGUCAGCAAACUUGACAAUGGAGGUGGUGUCUGAUGUGGCUACACAGUCAUAAGUGUACAGUGAGUACAGCAGGGGGCUUAAAACACAGCCCUGAGACACUCCAGUGCUGAGUGGGAUGGAGGGGGAGACUUGUUCUCCCACCCUUACAGAUUGGGGUCCGUCUGUGAGGAAGUCGAGGAUCCACUGACACAGUGAUGAGCUGAGUCCUAGAUCCUUCAUGUGAAAAGCUUUGAGGGAAUUAUUGUGCUGAAUGCUGAACUGUAGUCCAUGAACGGAUAAGAGAGGAGCGAGCCAAAAACAGGAAACACCUAUGUCUUAUGAGGGUGGCAAAGGUUAAACAUUGAAGAGUAUAUAAAUGAUGUUUUACACACAUAUUGCAAUCGUGCUCAUAUGAGUUGUAACUCAGCCCUAAGAAGGUCAAAAGCUUCGUUCAGCGUGACCGUCCGAACUGAUAUGCUGCAGGGAUGGCGUGGAGUGUAGUGAAUGGAUGCAUAACAGGCUUACACACACAAACAUCACAUAGAUUGAUUUUCUAGGGUAAAGGUGGAACACGUCUUGCUUUGUCUUUGCUUAGCAACUAGUGAUGCAGAAGGUGUUAAAGAUAAGCCAUGAAUAAGUCAACAGGAAACGUGUUGGGGUGCGACGGCUGAAACAAAAUGUUGCAGAUAACGGAAACUUAUCUAACUGUCAUUAGCUGUAACUUUUGCACGUUAUGUAUCUGCUUGAAGCAAAAAGGGGCGUAAACCCUGAUAGACAAAAAUUUUGGAGUGUGCUUUCUAGUGGAGAUUUAUGCUGAUAUGGUGAUGGUGUAUAUCUGACCCUGGGUGGGUUUAAUACAAUUAAAAGUGUUGCUCACACACAUAAAGAGCAUUGAGAUUAAGUAAAGUUAAUAUAAAGGAUAGAGCCCAGAACGGGAUAUUUUGAACCAACUUUGAAUAAUUAGAUGAACACAGUAGAUUAUUGAGGCGUAGCAGAGGGAGGCGUUUUGUUUUCUGACUUUACAGGAGAAGAUUCCAGAACCAGAGCGAAACCACGGAGGGGUUGGUGAGAAUCCAGAAACCAACCAUCAGAAAGGGGAACUCACAAGAAGCACAGAGAACCACAGCUCCAGGAAAUGUUGCUUAGGAGACUAAAAGCUCGUUGGACACACGUUAAAUGUGAGCAUAAAAGUAAUGAAGAGUAAUGAGAAGGACUUUAGGAAUAGUUUGCAGGAUUUCUAUGUUAUUUAAAUUGCCCAAGAAUAGUGUUAAUACCGGAUAUAUGUUACCCGUAGAGGGGGUGAAAACAGUCUCCGUAUUCUGGAAUAUGUCAAAUGAAAGAUCGUUUUUUGAGCUUUGACCACUUUGAGCCGUGUCUUUCUUUGCUGUAAAGAAUACAAAGAACUGGAUUUAAUACCCUGCUGUCUUGCAACAUCUGAUUAACAAUGUCUUUCGUGACAAGCUAGGCUGGUGGCCGUUGGCAUAUUUGUCAAGUCAAGUUUAUUUAUAAAGCACAUUUAAAAACAACCGAGGCUGACCAAAGUGCUGUACAAUAAAAUACAAAUAUAAAAUACAAUAAAACACAAGUACAUAAAACACCUCACUGAUAAAACAAUAAAUUAAAACAAUAAGUUAAACCUUGCUAAAAGCCAAUGAGAAGAGGUGAGUUUUAAGAGCAGUUUUAAAAGUUCCUAGGCUUGUGGAGAAUCUGAUGUGAGGAGGUAAACUGUUCCACAGUCUGGGUGCAGCCACAGCAAAAGCCCUCUCUCCCCUAGUCUUUAGUCUGUACCUGGGAACAUCUAAAAGCAUCAGGUCUGCUGACCUCAAAGAUCUCCUGGGGCGGUAAAUGCUAAGAAGCUCUGCCAGGUAAGGAGGUGCAGUACCGUUAAGAACCU